AUGCUAGUCAAGCGCUUUAGCUAUAGAGUGCGGCGCACAGCUCAGUAACACGUGGCUAACCUGCCCUUGGGACAGAGACAACCCCGGGAAACUGGGGCUAAUCCCUGAUAGGUGAAGAACUCUGGAAUGAGUCUCCGCCCAAAAGGCGCUUACAUCAUGCUUGUAGGCGUCGCCCAAGGAUGGGGCCGCGACCGAUCAGGUUGUUGGUGAGGUAACGGCUCACCAAGCCAUUGACCGGUACGGGCCGUGAGAGCGGGAGCCCGGAGAUGGGCACUGAGACAAGGGCCCAGGCCCUACGGGGCGCAGCAGUCGCGCAAACUUUGCAAUACACGAAAGUGUGACAGGGCUAUCCCGAGUGCCGCCCGCUGAGGGUGGCUUUUACUCAGUAUAACAAGCUGGGAGAAUAAGGAGAGGGCAAGACUGGUGUCAGCCGCCGCGGUAAUACCAGCUCUCCGAGUGGUGUGGACGUUUAUUGGGCCUAAAGCAUCCGUAGCUUGCUGAAGAAGUCCUCUGUUAAACCCAACGAAUUAAUCGUUGGAGUGCGGGGGAUACUGCUCGGCUUGGAGGCGAUAGAGGCAGACGGUAUUUCCGGGGUAGGAGUGAAAUCCUAUAAUCCCGGGAAGACCACCAGUGGCGAAGGCUGUUUGCUAGAACGCGCUCGACGGUGAGGGAUGAAAGCUGGGGUAGCGAACCGGAUUAGAUACCCGGGUAGUCCCAGCUGUAAACGAUGCAGGCUAGGUGUUUGGGCGGCUACGUGCCGCUCUAGUGCCGCAGGGAAGCCGUUAAGCCUGCCGCCUGGGGAGUACGAUCGCAAGGUUGAAACUUAAAGGAAUUGGCGGGGGAGCACAACAAAGGGUGAAGCUUGCGGUUUAAUUGGAUUCAACGCCGGAA
rnacentral:rRNA from 1 species